ACAAGGUUCCUGGCGGUGAGGACAAGGUUCCUUCCUGUGAGGACAAGGUUCCUGGCUGUGAGGACAAGGUUCCUGGCUGUGAGGACAAGGUUCCUGGCUGUGAGCACAAGGUUCCUGGCUGUGAGCACAAGGUUCCUGCCGGUGAGGACAAGGUUCCUGGCGGUGUGGAAUAGGUUCCUGCCGGUGACGACAAGGUUCCUGGCGGUGAGGACAAGGUUCCUGGCGGUGUGGACAAGGUUCCUGUCGGUGAGGACAAGGUUCCUGCCGGUGAGGACAAGGUUCCUGGCGGUGAGGACAAGGUUCCUGGCUGUGAGGACAAGGUUCCUGGCGGUGAGGACAAG